rnacentral:rRNA from 1 species
CCUACGGGGGGCUGCAGUGGGGAAUUUUGGACAAUGGGCGAAAGCCUGAUCCAGCCAUUCCGCGUGAGUGAAGAAGGCCUUCGGGUUGUAAAGCUCUUUCGGCAGGAACGAAACGGUCUUUUCUAAUACAAGAGGCUAAUGACGGUACCUGAAGAAGAAGCACCGGCUAACUACGUGCCAGCAGCCGCGGUAAUACGUAGGGUGCGUGCGUUAAUCGGAAUUACUGCGGGUGGCGCUUGCGGACGCGGCUGAAAUCCCCGGGCUUAACCUGGGAACUGCGUUUGUGACUGUAGGGCUAGAGUGCGGCAGAGGGGGGUAGAAUUCCACGUGUAGCAGUGAAAUGCGUAGAGAUGUGGAGGAAUACCGAUGGCGAAGGCAGCCCCCUGGGUCGACACUGACGCUCAUGCACGAAAGCGUGGGGAGCAAACAGGAUUAGAUACCCCAGUAGUC